AGCAGCCGCGGUAAUUCCAGCUCCAAUAGCGUAUAUUAAAGUUGUUGCAGUUAAAAAAGCUCGUAGUUGAAUUUCGGGAUCAAUACGUUGGUCGUGCUUUCGGGUACGUACUGGCGUCAUUGGUUUCUCUCUUCUGACGAACCAUGAUGUCAUUAAUUUGGUGUUAUGGGGAGUUAGGACUGUUACUUUGAAAAAAUUAGAGUGUUUAAAGCAGGCAUUAGCUUGAAUACAUUAGCAUGGAAUAAUGAAAUAGGACGUUUGAUCCUAUUUUGUUGGUUUCUAGGAUCGACGUAAUGAUUAAUAGGGAUAGUUGGGGGCAUUAGUAUUCAAUUGUCAGAGGUGAAAUUCUUGGAUUAUUGAAGACUAACUACUGCGAAAGCAUUUGCCAAGGAUGUUUUCAUUAAUCAAGAACGAAAGUUAGGGGAUCGAAGACGAUCAGAUACCGUCGUAGUCUUAACCAUAAACUAUGCCGACUAGGGAUCGGAUGAUGUUAAUUUUUUUAAUGACUCAUUCGGCGCCU
rnacentral:misc_RNA from 1 species